rnacentral:lncRNA from 1 species
AACAAUCAAGCUAUUAUGGGCAUUUUGGAGAGAACAGUACAUUUCAGUCUUUAGUUUGCUUCCUAUUUGAACCAGUGCUCACUUCUCAGUUUUGGGUCUGAGUUGAUUGCAUUUGUUUGUAAAGAUAAAGAGAGAAUGACACUAAGAAACAUUUGGAAAAGCCACAUGGAUAGAGAGCAGGACAUAAACUUUGCUUAGUUCUCACAAAGACACCAAUAGUAUAUAUUUUGCAGAUAGGAGGGUUGAGGUUACAAGAGGAAAACUAUCUUCCUCAGAUUCACAGAUCUGGGUGGUAGAGCUAACAGCCAACGCAAGUCUACUUGACCUUUGCCAGUAAUUCAUCCACCCGCUAGACAAGGUAGAACAUUUUGGAUUAAAGAAACUAUGUACGGAAAAUGUAUAGAUGCCAUAGUUGUCCAUAGAGAGAAUCUCUGAAAAUAUUUUUCAACAGAAUAAUACUGAAGCUCAAACCUGGUUUCUCUCUGAUCUUAACUCAAGGGCAAGAGCAAAAGUGAGAGAUCAUCAGAGAGGAGCAUCUACCAAGAAAAGAGACUAACCAACUGUGUGGCCUAAGAGGCAAGCUUCAUUUUCCUCUACUGGCCUGACAUCAUGCAUUUGACUCUUCCUUCUUACUCAGUGGGUGACGAUUUCAAAAGGGAAUCUCAUCUGCUAUCACUAUUGGAUUCAAAAGACUGUAUACUCCAUAUUCAGAGUCUUAUAAAAUUCUUUGUUAUACUUGAAUCUGGCAUUAAUUGCAAAAAUUGCUUUGUGCUUUUGUGAUUUUACAGUUCUAUAAUUAGCUAACAGGCAUUACACAUCAUCAAGAGGUCUAGGAAUUUGAGUUAAUAAUAAGCUCUACAGCUAGAAGUGAUGUCCACAGAACAGCCAGACUAGUGACACAGACCAUACAUGUUUUAUUCUUGGUUCCUCUUGAAAUUUUGGGAAGGAUGACUAAUUAAAAAAAAAAGUGAAACUAAAUAAAAAUUAAGGAGGAAAGGCCAUCAUUGGAAAAGGAAUGUCAGAUCAUUUCAUGACCAGGAUAAAGUUCACUUCAAUUUAAGGAAUUCCUUCAACUCAAGCAUGUAUUUUUUCACUUACUUAAUGAAUAUUUACUGAGCUUUCAUUGUGUUCUUUAUAAAGAUCCAGAUCCUGGGUGACAAUUUAAAACAGGGUAAUAAGGGAAGGUCUCCAUCUCAAAGUAUCAUUUGAGCAAAUUAUAUGAAAUAAGGAAAAAAGUCAUGCAGGUAUGUGUGUGCACACACAUGUACACAUGUGAAAAAUUACAAGUAAGUGGGGUAGUAAGCAUGAAGGACCUCGGUCGGAAGAGUCACAGUGCACUUUGGGAAAAGCAUAGUGGCCAAAUGAGGUUAUGAUAAAUUUAGCAAGUGGGAGAGUGGUAAGAAGCAUAGGUGGUCAACAGGGACUGAAUCACAUAAAACUUGCAGGACACUAUAAAGGCUUUGAGUUUUAUUGUAAGUUACAAGGUUAAAGAACCACUGGAAGGUUUUAGCUUUGAGGGGAUCCAUGUUUUUUCCUCUGCUGAGAUUAGACUGUGACAGGCUGGAAGGGCAAAAGCAGGCAGUCUUCAUAGGCAGAGUUCGUAGUUAUCUAGAAGACAGAGGAUGAGGAUAAGGCCAAAGUAAAAGUGUGAUCCCUGCAUCCAUUGUCAUUGGAGAGUAACUGAGGGUGACAUCUUUGCUUCAUUUGGGCCACUUUCCAUCUUUUACAUCUAGCGAUAUUUGUUGAUGUAUGGUCUGCCAUUUUUUAAAGUUUACCACUUCCCCACUUAUUUUUGAAUCCUUAAAAUACUAUUUUCCAUAACAGCAUCAAAGCAAUGCUGCCGUGUGAUAAUCUUU